rnacentral:RNase_P_RNA from 1 species
ACGGGUCGAUGAGACGGUCGCGUUGGUUGUCGCGGCCGCAAGGUUGGGGCAACUGCCGAGGAACGUCCGGGCUCCACAGAGCAGGGCGGUGGGUAACACCCACCCGGAGCAAUCCGCGAGAAAGUGCAACAGAGAGUAGACCGCCUUCGGUCUGCGCCUUCGGGCGUGGUUCGACGGUAAGGGUGAAACGGUGGGGUAAGAGCCCACCAGGGGCCCGAGUGAUCGGGCUCGCUAUGUAAACCUCGUCCGGAGCAAGGUCAGACAGGAAACGCUAAAGGCUGCUCGCCCAGUUUCCGGGUAGACCGCUAGAGGUGUGCGGCAACGUACAUCGUAGAUAGAUGGCCGUCGAUGGUGUCCGCGCGAGAGCGUGAAUCACCGGAACAGAACCCGGCGUACGGUCGGCCCGUUUGC